AUUAUUUAGGCAUUAAAUGAAGACACUACUUCUUCCUGGAACUCCUUUUCGCCAACACUCCAGAGACUCAUAGGCAUGAAAAGAUCAUGGAAAGCAGCUGAAUCUUGGCUAAAUUUUGCACAACUGGAGUCCCUAAAGUGGUCAGGAGAGGCUACUGGUGAAGGUUCAACCUCAGCUGCAGUGGAGAUCCUGCCAUAUUAGAGAAGCCAGGAUAACGGGAUGUCUGCCAAGGACAAUGAGAAGUGUGGAGUGGAGCUUGCCUGGGCCUACAAGACAUGUUGAAUAUGUGCUGUGGAUGGCAAACCUGAAGAAAUGGACUCCAAGUCCUUUGGAGUUCAGCUCAUGGAUGAGUCCAAGCAGAGAAAUGGUCUUCAUGUAUGCACGGAUACCAUGAUCAACACCAAGGGGGAAGAAAUAAGAGGAGCCAGCCUUUCACCUUACUAUGCAUUUGUUCUAGCAUUUGGAAAGCUGAGUUUGAGAGACCUUGGCUCCAUCGGAAAUUGCAGACAAGCUGAGCUACACAGUAACACCCUGUCUCAACCAACCAACCAACGAACCAACCAACCAACCAACCAAUUCUAAUCUUGUUCCGAGCUGUUUCUACCUGGUACUCACUGAUUCAGCUACUCUACUUAGCCAGUUUGCACUGGGAAACUGUUUCUUAGCUCUGCCUUUGGAGCACUGGUAGAUUGCCACACUUUCCAGAUUUUGAUGUGCAUCAUGGCCAAAUCUUCCCCUGAGAGACUGCAUCUUCUCUUCUACUUAAACCACCACAAUGUUCCUCUUAAGUUAGAGUUUGGGGAAAAAAGAAUAUUUAUUUGGGCUUGCUAAUGAAGUUUAGAGGGUCAUUUACAAAGACGUGAGCUGUGGGCUCCUUCUCUCUCAUAUUUGAGAUCUGCUUCCCACCAAGGUCUUGAUGCUCUCUUCUCAAAAUAGCGACUCCCCCCUCCCCUUUUUCCCAGUUGCUCAGCGUCUCUCACCUUCAGUCUCUAGGAGGUUCAGGUCUAGUUUCCCCAGAGGACAUACCCACCCAACAAUGUGGGUGCUGAGGCUCUGAACUGUGGUCCUCAUGUUUUAUACAGAACCAUCUCCUCAGCUCCAUUGGUGUGUUUUAUAGAUAUCCUGUAUUCUUACUCUCCCUGAUUCUACCACCUAGCAGAUGAAUAUGCAAUGUCCCAGUUAAGACUCUUAUCAUUCUCAAACAUUUUUCCUAGGAGUUUCUCUUCAAAACCUACCAACUAAAGUAGUCUAUGCUCUUUUUAAUUCCAUUUCCUGAAAACCCUUCUAGAUUGAGGAACAAAUGGAUGAACCAAUUAUGGCAAGUGGUUCAUAAGGCAUAAUAUAAUGCUCCCUCCAUUGUCUAACUCAAAGGAGGCCUUUUGAAGAAAUUGUAGUCAUUAUUAUACAAGAUGAGACACUGUCACAUUUUGAAGAACAAAAGCCAUGCCUUGAAUUAUGGUUCAACAGCAAGUUAUACAUCAGAACAGCAAAUAUUGUGACUGAUUAACAUCUUUUAAUCUCCCAAAUUAUAGGAAACACACUUUGUAAUUUUGUAUAACUUGUAAUAAACCAUUUCACAUAACCCUAUGGGAAUAGUAACAUUAGGAGAUUGUGUUAGAUUCAUGUUACUGUGUAAGGUUUAUUUUGGCUCCUGCUAUCAGAAGCUUCCUUCCAUGACUUGCCAACUCCAUCCAUUACCCUGGGCCUGAGGUAAGGCAGGCUUUCACAGUGGCUGGAGCAUGUGGCAGAUACAAUUUACUUCACAGCCCCCAAGAGCAGAGAAGUUAUACAUAUGCUAUUGUCUUCCUCCGUCUAUUGGUGUAAUCCCAUCUGUGCUCCGAGUCUACUAAACAAUAUUACCCACAUUCAGAGUAGUUUCAUUGCAAUUAGUUGAUUAUCCUUUGGAAUACCCUCAUACAGAAAUGUAUCUAAUCACCUAACAAUUUCUAAAUCUAGACCAGUUGAUAAUCAAGAUGAACUAUCAGGAAGAUGUAACAAUAUAUGUGAGAUUAUUCUAUGUUUUAUUCAUAAAACAUUCAUACACACAUAGAAUAAAAUUAUAAGGCAUAAAGAUAAACAGUAGUAAUUUGAUGAUAAAUUCAAGAAUGAAAAAAAUGUAAAGGAUACAUGGAGUAAAUUCGCCCUGUAUUUCUCCUUAUAAUUUAGAAAGAAUAUUUCAUGUUUAACACAAUCACUAAUGUAGAGAUAAGUAUACUUUUAUAAUUAGGCCAGUAUGCUGAUGAAUACUUGUGGUCUAGGAUUUAGGAGGCUAAGGUGGAGAGAUUGCUUGACCUAGGAGUUCAAUGUCAGACUGGGCAACAAAGUAACACCUCAACUUGGAAGGAGGUAGGGAGGGAAGGAAGAAAGGAAGGGAGGGAAGGAAAAGUGAUUUGAAAACUUGUGGUUUGUGUUAAAAUUGUGAAGACCUGUUGAAUGUUUUGGAUAAUUACACAGAAUGCAUGUUACACUUUCUCAAGAAUCCAGUAUAUUGUACUAGAAUCUAUAAUAAAUGAAAGGAUUAAAAAUUCAA